CCUACGGGUGGCAGCAGUAGGGAAUAUUGCUCAAUGGGGGAAACCCUGAAGCAGCAACGCCGCGUGGAGGAUGAAGGUUUUAGGAUUGUAAACUCCUUUUGUUAGAGAAGAUUAUGACGGUAUCUAACGAAUAAGCACCGGGUAAGUACGUGCCAGAAGCCGCGGUAAAACGGAGGGUGCAAGCGUUACUCGGAAUCACUGGGCGUAAAGAGUGCGUAGGCGGGGUAAUAAGUCAGAUGUGAAAUCUUGUAGCUUAACUACAGAACAGCAGUUGAAACUGUUACUCUGGAGUGUGGGAGAGGUAGGUGGAAUGCUUGGUGUAGGGGUAAAAUCCGUAGAGAUCAAGAAGAAUACUCAUUGCGAAGGCGACCUGCUGGAACAUUACUGACGCUGAUGCACGAAAGCGUGGGUAGCGAACAGGAUUAGAUACCCUUGUAGUC
rnacentral:rRNA from 1 species